CAAACAAUUGAGCAUCCACCCAACUGAAAUAUUUAAAAAUAAUUGGAGCAACUAAAGCUAUCAAGAUUGGAUCCAGUUAUGAUAGCUGCUAUACGGAGGGGAGAGGAAAAGGGAGUCCAAAACACAAGGAAAGUGUUGUUUCAGUUAUUUUUAGAUAUUUCAGGUUGUGUGGAUAGCGAAUUGGUGGAA